AAAUUGAAGAGUUUGAUCAUGGCUCAGAUUGAACGCUGGCGGCAGGCCUAACCAUGCAAGUCGAACGGUAACAGGAAGAAGCUUGCUUCUUUGCUGACGAGUGGCGGACGGGUGAGUAAUGUCUGGGAAACUGCCUG
rnacentral:rRNA from 1 species